GUAAGUAACUGUGCACAUCUUGACGGUACCUAAUCAGAAAGCCACGGCUAACUACGUGCCAGCAGCCGCGGUAAUACGUAGGUGGCAAGCGUUAUCCGGAAUUAUUGGGCGUAAAGCGCGCGUAGGCGGUUUUUUAAGUCUGAUGUGAAAGCCCACGGCUCAACCGUGGAGGGUCAUUGGAAACUGGAAAACUUGAGUGCAGAAGAGGAAAGUGGAAUUCCAUGUGUAGCGGUGAAAUGCGCAGAGAUAUGGAGGAACACCAGUGGCGAAGGCGACUUUCUGGUCUGUAACUGACGCUGAUGUGCGAAAGCGUGGGGAUCAAACAGGAUUAGAUACCCUGGUAGUCCACGCCGUAAACGAUGAGUGCUAAGUGUUAGGGG
rnacentral:rRNA from 1 species